rnacentral:rRNA from 1 species
UACGGAGGGUGCAAACGUUGCUCGGAAUCAUUGGGCGUAAAGCGCACGUAGGCGGACCGCUAAGUUGGAUGUGAAAGCCCUCGGCUUAACCGAGGAAGUGCAUUCGAAACUGACAGUCUUGAGUAUGGAAGAGGGUCGCGGAAUUCCCGGUGUAGAGGUGAAAUUCGUAGAUAUCGGGAGGAACACCAGUGGCGAAGGCGGCGACCUGGGCCAAUACUGACGCUGAGGUGCGAAAGCGUGGGGAGCAAACAGG